AGAGUUUGAUCAUGGCUCAGAUUGAACGCUGGCGGCAGGCUUAACACAUGCAAGUCGAGCGGGGAGAUGUAGCUUGCUACAUUACCUAGCGGCGGACGGGUGAGUAAUGCUUAGGAAUCUGCCUAUUAGUGGGGGACAACAUUCCGAAAGGAAUGCUAAUACCGCAUACGCCCUACGGGGGAAAGCAGGGGAUCUUCGGACCUUGCGCUAAUAGAUGAGCCUAAGUCAGAUUAGCUAGUUGGUGGGGUAAAGGCCUACCAAGGCGACGAUCUGUAGCGGGUCUGAGAGGAUGAUCCGCCACACUGGGACUGAGACACGGCCCAGACUCCUACGGGAGGCAGCAGUGGGGAAUAUUGGACAAUGGGCGAAAGCCUGAUCCAGCCAUGCCGCGUGUGUGAAGAAGGCCUUUUGGUUGUAAAGCACUUUAAGCGAGGAGGAGGCUACUUAGAUUAAUACUCUAGGAUAGUGGACGUUACUCGCAGAAUAAGCACCGGCUAACUCUGUGCCAGCAGCCGCGGUAAUACAGAGGGUGCGAGCGUUAAUCGGAUUUACUGGGCGUAAAGCGUGCGUAGGCGGCUUUUUAAGUCGGAUGUGAAAUCCCUGAGCUUAACUUAGGAAUUGCAUUCGAUACUGGGAAGCUAGAGUAUGGGAGAGGAUGGUAGAAUUCCAGGUGUAGCGGUGAAAUGCGUAGAGAUCUGGAGGAAUACCGAUGGCGAAGGCAGCCAUCUGGCCUAAUACUGACGCUGAGGUACGAAAGCAUGGGGAGCAAACAGGAUUAGAUACCCUGGUAGUCCAUGCCGUAAACGAUGUCUACUAGCCGUUGGGGCCUUUGAGGCUUUAGUGGCGCAGCUAACGCGAUAAGUAGACCGCCUGGGGAGUACGGUCGCAAGACUAAAACUCAAAUGAAUUGACGGGGGCCCGCACAAGCGGUGGAGCAUGUGGUUUAA
rnacentral:rRNA from 1 species